rnacentral:rRNA from 1 species
UACGUAGGAUGCAAGCGUUGUCCGGAUUUAUUGGGCGUAAAGAGUUCGUAGGUGGUUUGUUAAGUCUGAUGUUAAAGACUGAGGCUCAACCUCGGGAGUGCAUUGGAUACUGGCAGACUAGAGUAUGGUAGAGGCAAGCGGAAUUCCCAGUGUAGCGGUGAAAUGCGUAGAUAUUGGGAAGAACACCGGUGGCGUAGGCGGCUUGCUGGGCCAUAACUGACACUGAGGAACGAAAGCCAGGGGAGCGAAUGGG